rnacentral:rRNA from 1 species
AUGAACGACGCAUUUGGUUCCGCGCGGGUAACUGCUAGGCGCCGGUGCGCCGACCCAAGUUUGGGCCGGUCACGCGCUAGCCGUCUGACUGACUACUGCAUAGUCGGUAGAUGGGGCUCGUUCCUCGGCCGUCUUUCUCGCACCGCACGUGAAUCUGAGAAAGAAAAGAAGGGAGCCAUGGUGGGCCCUUCCCCCUCCUCUGAAUUGCGCACGCACGUCACAUCCCAUCGUCGUCGACUCGCCGCCGACGCUCGCCCCUCUCCGCUACUGCCCAUCCCUCCCUCCUCGCCCACCUGCAGAAUCCGUAGCGAUGACGCCCUGGAUCGCAUCCAAAAACAACGCACUUGGUUGGCCGUGGUCACCGCCCGUCGCCUGCCCAUUGUAGCUCCUCCGUCCGCCGGUUGCAGCUCCCGUGUGGCCGGUUGCAGCUCUCCCGACGGUAAGAAAGAGACGUGUGCAUGUGGACCCUCAUGGCCGCGUGACGCGUGCGUGGCCGAGCGACCGGCGGAGCGUUCGGCCGGCCUGCCGCAGUCCAUGCUCCCGCAUAGGCCGUUGCCUGAAGAUGUGAUAGUUAGCCCAUUUUCUCGCGGAUCCACGGGCCAUUCGCUAAGGCGCCAGCGGCCACGCAGCCCUAGUUUCCAUUCCUCGCUCGACGCCGCCGCCGCCGCCUCCCUCCGGCCGUCGCGCGCCAUAUCUUGCUAUGAUCUCCCCAGCCGGACGCCGGCCGAGAGGCUCACCGAUGACGUCCUCGUGGAGAUCCUCUCGCGCGUCCCCGCCAAGGAGCUGUGCCGCUGCAAGUGCGUCUGUAAGCACUGGCUCGGCCUCAUCCACCACCCCGACCACCGCAAAAGUCUCCCCCAAACCCUGGCCGGCUUCUUCUACGGCAGCAGCACCACCGGCGAGCGGCUUCUUGAACCGCCCUUCCACUUCACCACCCUCUCAGGGGACCGCCGUCCUCCAUUUGAUACCUCCUUCACUUUCCUGCCCAACCACCGCCCGCCGCGCGUCGAUCUGCUGGACUCCUGCAACGGCCUCCUCCUCUGCCGCCGCUACGACGUUUCCGAUGGGGUUGUCGCAUUCCGUUAUGUCGUGUGCAAUCCCGCCACCGAGAAGUGGGUUGUGUUGCCCAACUCCGGCAAGGCCACUGGCGAGGUGGCCACCACAUGUCUGGGCUUCGACCCGGCCCUAUCGUCGCAUUCCCAUGUGUUUGAGUUGGUACAUGAGCACAAUUAUAGUCAGGACACUGAUCUUUCCGGAGUGGCAGUGUAUUCGUCUGAAACUGGAGAGUGGGUUUAUAAGGAGGAGAGAUGGAUCGGAGAAGCUACCUGGCUCGCUAAUCGGCACUCCUCGGCAAGUGUAUUUCUUAAUGGCCUUCUGUUUUUUUGUGCCUUUGACCUCGAGUUAUUCGAGUAUGUAGCUGCAGUCGACACAAAGGGAGAAACGUGGAUGAAAUUCAGUGUCCCUGGUGGUGAGGUUAAUGAUUUUGGUCUGGCUGAUGGUUUUAUUCAGCGGUCGCAGGGCCGCUUGCACUAUGCCAGUUUUCAGAGGGAUAAAAAUGGUGUUGCCAUCCGAUUUGUAGUUUAUGUUCUGGAGAACUAUCAAGGCGAACCUUGGAUAUUGAAGCAUAGCAUUGAAACUUCAAACAUAUUUGGAUGGAGAGAUUUAUACCUUGAUGGGCAUUUUGAUUUUAUUGCAAUUCAUCCGAAAUGUGACUUGGUUUUCAUCAUUGCGGGGGGUAUCACAUUCAUGUGCUAUAAUAUGGAUAAUCGGCAAGUCAACGUGAUAUCCUAUCUGCCAGGUGCCAAGCAGCUAUUUUUGCCUUAUGUGCCGUUGUUCACAGAGUCACAGUCAUUGCACAUUUGA